GAAUAUUGGGCAAUGGCCGAGAGGCUGACCCAGCCAUGCCGCGUGCAGGAAGAAGGCCUUCUGGGUUGUAAACUGCUUUUAUCUAGGAAGAAAACGCCCCUGCGGGGGUAACUGACGGUACUAGAUUAAUAAGCACCGGCUAACUCCGUGCCCGGAGCCGCGGUACUACGGAGGGUGCAAGCGUUGUCCGGUUUUAUUGGGUUUAAAGGGUGCGUAGGCGGCCCGUUAAGUCAGCGGUGAAAUCCCACGGCGCAACCGUGGAACUGCCGUUGAUACUGGCGGGCUUGAGUUCGGUCGAGGCGGGCGGAACUGGUGGUGUAGCGGUGAAAUGCAUAGAUACCACCAAGAACCCCGAUUGCGUAGGCAGCUCGCUGGUCCGAAACUGACGCUGAGGCACGAAAGCGUGGGGAGCGAACAGG
rnacentral:rRNA from 1 species